rnacentral:rRNA from 1 species
UGGGGAAUAUUGCACAAUGGGCGAAAGCCUGAUGCAGCGACGCCGCGUGAGGGAUGACGGCCUUCGGGUUGUAAACCUCUUUCAGCAGGGAAGAAGCGAAAGUGACGGUACCUGCAGAAGAAGCGCCGGCUAACUACGUGCCAGCAGCCGCGGUAAUACGUAGGGCGCAAGCGUUGUCCGGAAUUAUUGGGCGUAAAGAGCUCGUAGGCGGUUAGUCGCGUCUGCUGUGAAAACUCGAGGCUCAACCUCGGGCUUGCAGUGGGUACGGGCUGACUAGAGUGCGGUAGGGGUGACUGGAAUUCCUGGUGUAGCGGUGGAAUGCGCAGAUAUCAGGAGGAACACCGAUGGCGAAGGCAGGUCACUGGGCCGCAACUGACGCUGAGGAGCGAAAGCAUGGGGAGCGAACAGGAUUAGAUACCCUGGUAGUCCAUGCCGUAAACGUUGGGCACUAGGUGUGGGUCCAUUCCACGGAUUCCGUGCCGCAGCAAACGCAUUAAGUGCCCCGCCUGGGGAGUACGGCCGCAAGGCUAAAACUCAAAUGAAUUGACGGGGUCAUAGCUGUUUCCU